rnacentral:rRNA from 1 species
UUUCCUUUUGUUUGUAUAAAAGGUAAGACCUGCUCACUGAUAAUUUAAAGAGCCGCGGUAUUUUGACCGUGCAAAGGUAGCAUAAUCAUUAGUCUUUUAAUUGAAGACUGGAAUGAAAGGUUAAACGAGAACAAUCCUGUCUCUUAAUAAUUUAUUUAAUUUUAUUUUAUAGUGAAAAAGCUAUAAUAAAAGAAGAGGACGAGAAGACCCCGUAGAGCUUUAUAAUUUCAAUAAUUAUUGGUAAGACUAAAUUAAAGUUAUUAUAUUGGGGUGAUAAUGAAAUAAAUAAACUUUUAAAAUUCAAACACUUGUAAGUGAUUAUAAGAUCUUUAGGUGCAAAAAGAUUAAGUUACCUUGGGGAUAACAGCGUAAUUAUUUUGGAGAGUUCAAAUUGAUAAAAUAGAGUGCGACCUCGAUGUUGGAUUAGAAGAUAAAUUUAAAGCAAAAAUUGUGCCGUGUUUUCUGCUGCAUUAUUAAAACUCCC